AGGUGAUUUGCCAAGCUCCAGUAGCAAGCUUAUGAUAGACACUAAACCCCAAGUUUCUGCAUAUUUGCAGUGAUGUCACAGGCACUCUGUGUGAUGCUGGUGAACAUUUUAGGUGUGUAAAAUUAGUAAUACCUGGCAAUCUGUUUAAGAUCAUUGACAGGCCUGAGAGUUUUCCAUAUGGCCUGCACCCUAACCUCUGGGAAGAAAAUAUCCACAACGUAAUUUCUACAAGAUUAGAGGAAGAAGAGAGGCAACGGGGAUUCCAUUUCUACUAGGAGUAUCAACCUCUGAGAGGGAUAUAUCCAUCUCUGUGGAUGUCAUCUGCUCUGCAGAAAACCUUUUCUUGGAACUCCCAGCCUACUAGAAACCGAGGUGAAGGAGUGUGAAUGACUUGGAGCAGUGCCUCACUGACAGAAGAGCACAAGGAAUUUUCUCUUCCAAGAGGGCCUGCAACAUCUCUGCAGCAGGGGGCACCACUUCCCAAAUCAAGCUUUGCUGGCGUUUUUGAAAUCUGGAGGAAGGUGAAAAAUGACUAUUUUCAUAAGGCUGGCCAUUGGGCAUGAUGGACAGAUGACAAGGAGCAUGCCCUAAGGAGCUGAAAGGUCAGUGAAAGUUCACUGCAAACCCAGGACCUCCCCCACAAUAGCCUAUUCCACCUACUCUUCGCUCUCAAUCCAAUUUUAAAUACUUUUCUUUGGAAGGGGACAUUUUUUGGAACUUGAGCAGCAGCUCAGAAAUGUGAAACAAAUACCCCACUGUUUGCUGAGAACUUAAGUCAAUAAGGAUUUUAUUAUUCAGGCAAAUAAGAGCUGCAACUCCGGUCAUCUGAGCUGGCUGACCAGCUUCCAGCUCUGAAGUAGCAAUUUCA
rnacentral:lncRNA from 1 species